rnacentral:RNase_P_RNA from 1 species
AACAGAACGGGCAUGGUAAACCCCAUCCGGAGCAAGACCAUGUAGGGACACGCGUUGCCUUAUGCAACAGGUGCGAUCCUGUACCGAUGUCCGGGUAGGUUGCUUGAGGUGGCUGGCAACAGCCAUCCUAGAUGAAUAGCCAUCAUCAACCGCUAUGGCGGUUGGUACAGAACCCGGCUUACAGGCUGUCUGCUCAC